UCCCGUUGAUCCUGCGGGAGUACGCUGCUAUUGGGAUUCGAUUUAGCCAUGCAAGUCUUGAGGAUGUUUACAUCCUCGGCAAAAUGCUCAGUAACACGUCGAUAACUUCACCAUAGGUCAUGGAUAAUCUCGGGAAACUGAGGAUAAUACAUGAUAGAAGAUUAUUUCUGGAGUGAUUUUUCUUUGAAACUCGUGCCUAUGGAUAGGUCGGCAGCUGAUUAGGUAGUUGGAGAGGUACGGCUCACCAAGCCUAAGAUCAGUAGGGGCCGUGAGAGCGGGAGCCCCGAGAAGGACACUGAGAUACUGGUCCUAGCCCUACGGGGUGCAGCAGGCGCGAAACCUUUACAAUGCACGAAAGUGUGAUAAGGGGAUCCCAAGUGCUUACACACUGUGUAGGCUUUUGCCAAGAGUAAAUAUCUUGGCGAAUAAGUGGUGGGAAAGACUGGUGCCAGCAGCCGCGGUAACACCAGCGCCACGAGUGGCGUACGUUUUUAUUGGGCCUAAAGCGUUCGUAGCUGGUUUAGUAAAUUCUUUGUGAAAUCAUGGGGCUUAACUCCAUGGCGUGCAGAGAAGACUGCUAGACUAGGGACCGGGAGGAGUCAGAAGUAUUCUGGGGGAAGCGGUAAAAUGCUAUAAUCCUCGGAGGACUACCUGUGGCGAAGGCGUCUGACUAGAACGGAUCCGACAGUGAGGGACGAAGGCCAGGGGAGCGAACCGGAUUAGAUACCCGAGUAGUCCUGGCAGUAAACGCUGUGAGCUAGGUGUUGCACAUCUUUCGUGGGUGUGCAGUAUCGGAGAGAAGUCGUUAAGCUCACCGCCUGGGAAGUAUAGUCGCAAGACCGAAACUUAAAGGAAUUGGCGGGGGAGCACCACAAGGGGUGCGGCGUGCGGUUUAAUCUAACUCUACGCAGAAAAUCUCACCAGCAGCGACGGCAGGAUGAAAGUCAGUCUGAAGGGCUUACUUGACGAGCCGAGAGGUAGUGCAUGGCCGCCGUCAGCUCGUGCCGCAAGGUGUCCUGUUAAGUCAGGCAACGAGCGAGACCUGCGUCUACAAUUGCUAACGUCUAUUUAAUAGGAGCGAGCACAUUGUGGAGACUGCCUUGGAAACAAGGAGGAAGGUGCAGGCUACGGUAGGUCUGUAUGCUCCGAAUCUGCUGGGCUACACGCGCGCAACAAUGGUUGGGACAAUGGGCUGCAACACCGAAAGGUGAAGCUAAACCUCUAAACCCUUCCCAAGUCUAGAUUGAGGGUUGCAACUCACCCUCAUGACACCGGAAUCCCUAGUAAUCGGUUUUCAUUACGAACCGGUGAAUACGUCCCUGCUCCUUGCACACACCGCCCGUCAAACCAACCGAGCAGGGUUUAGAUGAGCCUUAGUUUUUUGACUAAGUCGAAUCUAAGCUCAGUGAGGUGGGUUAAGUCGUCACAAGGUA
rnacentral:rRNA from 1 species